AAAAAGAUCACAAUUUUUUUAUAAACAGAAAAAUGGAGAUUCUCUUCUCUUCAAGAUAGUAGAAAUAAGUUUGUCUGGUUGUAGGCAAGUUGGAUUUAGAGCUAACGGUGGUGGCCACAUAAACUCCUUCAUAUAGAUUUUGAGCCACCACUUGAUUAAAGUUGAUAUUUGAAUUUUUGAAGAAGAACAAUCAUUACUAAGUAAUGGGGCCUGUAACUCUAGUCACUGUAGCAUCAGUAGAUGUGUUCACUUGAAAACAUUUAUCAGUGGGGCACCUGGGGGGCUCAGUCGGUUGAGCGUCCGACUUUGGCUCCGGUCACGAUCUCACGGCUCGUGAGUUCGAGCCCCACGUCGGGCUCUGUGCUGUCGGCACAGAGCCUGCUUCAGAUCCUCUGUCCCCCUUUCUUUCGGCCCUCCCGCGCUCGUUCUCUCUCUCCCUCAAAAUAAAUAAAUAAACUUAAAAAAAAAGAAAAAGAAAAAGAAAACAUUUACAGGCAGUUUCAAGAUGGCAAAAUGGCCCACAAAUAUUGCCUAUGGCCAACCAUGAUAACCCUUUAGUAGCAUAAAGCGAUCUAAAGCCUAUCAGCCCCCGUGAAGGUUAUGGGAGAGCCGAGAAAGAGAGACAGACACAAAUGUGCAGUGUCGUGGCAACAAAUCCAUCCCUUGGUUUGGUCAACCAAUGAGCACUGACGUGGUUUUCAACAACUACAACGUUCGCCGAGUACUUGCGAAGUACCACGCCCUGUGCUAAGUACCUGAGAUAACUCCCUCGGCAGACACCCAUGAGGGGUGUGUCCCGAUCACCGGCUAACAAAUGAGAAAGUGCCACAAAGCACCGCCUGGGCUUACCCAGCUCGUAAGCCACAAAGCUGAGAUGGGAACCUAGCGGAACGUGUCCGCGAGGGGUGCGCUCCCGGGAGAGCGUGGGAGCGGUGCCUGGCAAACGGGCUGUUCCUGUGUUCAGAGCCAGGAGGACUCUGUUCUGCACAGACGUUCUUUGAGGAAGGAGACAGCAGAGGCACAUGGCCGUUGCUCUUCCAGAAUCCACAGGGGACUGGAGUCAGGUUCUCACUCAGCCCAGAUAGGAAGGGGCCAGGAGCACGAGGGCUACACAACACUCCUCACACCUCCUUCCCAGGUAUAUGUGGUGACUCUUACUGCACACCUACCCAUUCUCUUCUAUCGCUCUCGGCAAUCCUGCCUCCUCAGCCCCAGAUGGCCAUCCCAGCCCCGGUGCAACGUGACCCCUGAGUGCAAAAGCCUGCAAUCACCGAAUGACUGGUCCUGGUGUCUUCUCAGCUCACACCCACCUUGAACCCAGCUGGCCCAGCUCACCUGACAAUGGAUAAGCUCCCCAUGUCAGCGGGUCCUUGCGGGCAGCAGGCAUUGUAGGGAGGGAGGUGGUCCAAGAAAGGGUUCAUGGUGGGACAAAUAUUGCAUUUCAUCAUGCGUCAGAGGGAGAGACAAGGUGAGAUUUUUCCUCACUGCUUUAUUGCCAAAGAAGCUAUGAGAGGAAUAUACUGACCGGCUCUGAGUCAUAUUAAGCGUAAGCUGAUAAGCUUAUACCUCCCAGUUUCCGCUUGCUAAGUAUUAGAGGAAAAGCUUCCAUGCUGGGUCUUUCGUGUCAGAUGUGGCAAAUCUCACUGGACUUCCCCUGUGCCCAGGCCAAGGGAAAAGGCCCAAAACACACCAUCUCCACCCUUUGGUUUAUUUUUCUUUUGGGGUAGUAAUUUUUCUCCUUUUCCUUUUUUUCUGCCAGCCCUCCAUGCCCCUUCCAACUCCACCUAUAACAACUCUCCAGGAUGUCUAUGCUAACAACCUAGUACAUAUUCUCUUUGCUAGCUUUGUCAUUGUGAAGAGUUAUCUCAGUUAAUAAAAAUUGCACAUCCUAUACUAUUAGAGGUUUG
rnacentral:lncRNA from 1 species